GAUGAACGCUGGCGGCGUGCUUAACACAUGCAAGUCGAACGAAGCAUUUAGAACAGAUUACUUCGGUUUGAAGUUCUUUAUGACUGAGUGGCGGACGGGUGAGUAACGCGUGGGUAACCUGCCUUGUACUGGGGGAUAGCAGCUGGAAACGGCUGGUAAUACCACAUAAGCGCACAAUGUUGCAUGACAUGGUGUGAAAAACUCCGGUGGUAUAAGAUGGACCCGCGUCUGAUUAGCUAGUUGGUGAGAUAACAGCCCACCAAGGCGACGAUCAGUAGCCGACCUGGGAGGGGGACCGGCCACAUUGGGACUGAGACACGGCCCAGACUCCUACGGGAGGCAGCAGUGGGGAAUAUUGCACAAUGGAGGAAACUCUGAUGCAGCGACGCCGCGUGAGUGAAGAAGUAAUUCGUUAUGUAAAGCUCUAUCAGCAGGGAAGAUAGUGACGGUACCUGACUAAGAAGCGCCGGCUAAAUACGUG
rnacentral:rRNA from 1 species